rnacentral:lncRNA from 1 species
CCGGUACUUCUGAAAAUGUUAUCUCAAUUCCCUUAACUACAUGCCAAAACAUGCCUUCGUUGCACAACAUCUCAGUCGCACAGAAGCAAGCACCUCAAGGCGUUCACAGCAUACUGCGUGCCUGGCUUGGAGUUGACCUUUUCCUGGCAACCGCACAGCUUCUGCAUGUGAAAAUAGGCACCUAUCGUUUGGGAUAAGCCACCAGGGGAGGUGGCCUCUUGUUAAUCCAGCAGCAUACGAGUUGCACAUUCGCGCUCUUGCUCGCACGCGUUGUCGCGCAACACGCGAUUUAUUACAAUUAUGGUAUGUUAUGUUGCAAGCUCGCGAGAGCUCGUAAGGCUCAGACGAGCCAGGAGGCUCAUGGACCGCAAUCACAGUGGCGGAACGCCCCGUAAGGAGUAUUUCCGUAAUAGGCAAUGUCCUGAGGUACAGCUCAGGUUUACAAUGACUUGAAGGUCAAAUCUGCAAUCUCCCAAUGAUAAGCUUUCCUUCUCAGCUAGGGGUCUCAUCCGUCAUGAAAAUGCUUGGCUCAUUUAGUCCGUACAAGCUUGUGAACACAGAACUCCAGAAUGCCAUUACUAAAGCGUCCUAUCCAGCAAAAUGAAGAGCAGCGAAAACAUCUUCUAAAAGUAUUGUUUGCGUCGAUUUCGACAAUCUCUCCGUAAGAAUGUUUUCGUGCACCGUUCGUUCGAAAACAUUGACGCGAACGACCGAGCGACGACGUGCAAAAUGCGCGGUGGUCCCUGAAUCUAUACUUGCAAUGGCAUGUGCAGUCAAGUUGGCGUUUCUGCCAUGGAACGGGUGCGAGGUUCCUGGAUCCUUCUAUUCAACAGGCGUCAAAGGUAUACCCGGAAAGGACUGCCAAAAAGUAUAUCAACCAGCUAUAGCAGCGGAGGCACAAGCUGUUCAACGGCUGCGGCAGCAGCAGGUGAGGGUACGGCACCUGCUGCAGAGCGUGCGUACAUCCAACACGGUAUGUGGCAAUCCAGGUUGACGGAUGAGGUGUGCGCUGCCGUUUGGUCCUUAUAGGUUAUUAUUAUGACGUUUGGAUAUGCCCUGGCCCUACCGUCCGCAGGCGAAGGCAGACCUUACCGCAGGGGCGAGUAGUCCCAUUGUUGAAGACGGUCACGAGACCGUUCCUGCCGCUGUAAAGGCGGCUCGUGACGCCUUGAACGAGGAGCUUCGGCAGCGGAACAAGGCCUUAGUCGAUAGCGCGUGGCAGUCGCUGGAGUAAUGCUCUCGGUGGAGUCAUCUAGCCAGAAGCCAGGGACUCUCGAUCUCUUGGGACAAUGGACUAGGUUUAAGACGCACGUCGGGGGCUAUCUGGCCGUUGCACUUCCCGUGCGUUAGCUGUAAUGGGACGAACCAUUCCGA